rnacentral:rRNA from 2 species
AUUUAUUUUCGACCUGAGAUUAGGCAAGACUACCCGCCGAAUUUAAGCAUAUCAAUAAGCGGAGGA